GAGUAUGCGUCCUGUGGACCGCAGGGGUGGGUCAACACAGAGUAUGCGUCCUGUGACCGCAGGGGUGGGUCAACACAGAGUAUGCGUCCUGUGGACCGCAGGGGUGGGUCAACACAGAGUAUGCGUCCUGUGGACCGCAGGGGUGGGUCAACACAGAGUAUGCGUCCUGUGGACCGCAGGGGUGGGUCAACACAGAGUAUGCGUCCUGUGGACCGCAGGGGUGGGUCAACACAGAGUAUGCGUCCUGUGGACCGCAGGGGUGGGUCAACACAGAGAAUGCGUCCUGUGGACCGCAGCGGGGAAUGUGGGGUUUGAAGUUAGCCAGAAGAACUUAGGGUCCUGUUUCUGUUUUGCCGAGUCUUUGACUUUCAAAAUAGAACUUGUUAUUUUUUAGGGCCCAAUCCUUUAAAGAUUAUAAAAAGAUGGAGUGACAGAUUUCACCAACAGGAAAGGCAAGAAGCUGAGAGCUAGGACGCUACUGUGUACCUCUCCUCCUGCUGGGAAGAGGGACCCCACAGGGCCGACUGCUGCCUUUUACUGUGUGGCAUGAAGGCUGGCAGAGGGGUGGCUUCUCUUUGGUGUAAAAUAGGUCCUGUUAAUUCAUGUUUGAUCAACAUCCCUUACUUCUACCCAGUCCCUUUUUGUCUUUGGAUGUUUGUGUUGACUUCUUAUUUAAAUCCCAUGAUCCACAGACAUGUUAAUGGAUUCUUCAGAUAAAGAGGGAAGAAACAAUCUGUGUUCAUCACAAGCAUCCCAUGUUCACUUUUUCCUCUAGGUAGAAGGACAAAAACUGACCUUUGAAACAAUUCUUCCUAUUAGUUGUUAAAAGAGGCGUGUUGAGUAAUAAAAAUAGUCAAAGAAUCAGGCAGAGCUGAAAGCCUGUUCGCUCGCUGGCAGUUAGAAAAGCACACGACACCAUCGUCUGUGGCCCGCACCUGAGAGGCUGCCUUUGAUCCACAUGGGGCUGGCUUCUUUCAUACAGUCUUGUGUCCAUGAUUUUGGAAAAAAGAAAUCAGUCUCCUCCUUCUCACUCUCUUGAAGGAAAUAGAA